rnacentral:rRNA from 1 species
UGGGGAAUAUUGCACAAUGGGCGAAAGCCUGAUGCAGCAACGCCGCGUGAGUGAUGAAGGCCUUCGGGUUGUAAAGCUCUGUCUUUUGGGACGAUAAUGACGGUACCAAAGGAGGAAGCCACGGCUAACUACGUGCCAGCAGCCGCGGUAAUACGUAGGUGGCAAGCGUUGUCCGGAUUUACUGGGCGUAAAGGAUGCGUAGGCGGAUUUUUAAGUGAGAUGUGAAAACCCUAAGCUUAACUUGGGGACUGCAUUUCAUACUGGAAAUCUAGAGUGCGGGAGAGGAGAAUGGAAUUCCUAGUGUAGCGGUGAAAUGCGUAGAGAUUAGGAAGAACACCAGUGGCGAAGGCGAUUCUCUGGACCGUAACUGACGCUGAGGCAUGAAAGCGUGGGUAGCAAACAGGAUUAGAUACCCUGGUAGUCCACGCCGUAAACGAUGGGUACUAGGUGUAGGAGGUAUCGACCCCUUCUGUGCCGCAGUUAACACAAUAAGUACUCCGCCUGGGAAGUACGAUCGCAAGAUUAAAACUCAAAUGAAUUGACGGGGUCAUAGCUGUUUCC